ensembl:lncRNA
CAGGAAAGCGCUUCCUUUUGUCUCUGCUCAGACAGAAAAUAAACAAGACCACGCGGAGGGAAAAAGAGGCAGCAGCCUUCGUGGACGGAAAGAGCAAAAAGCCAAACAGGAGAAGCAGCCGACCUGAAGAAGAGGAAGCGAGGAGGAGGAGGAGGAGGAGAUGACGAGCGUGGAGCGGUAGAAGCAGAUGAAAAUGGUGCCAAGAAGAAGAGAUCUUUGGAUCCCUCCGCCAAGCUUUCAGCGUUUGCUUUUAACAAAAACUAACUUUUAGAUCCUCGACGUGUCCGUGCUGCUGAUUCUGUUCUUUGAGGCACUCCGAAGGUUUAAAGAGGCCUUCGGUUAGUGAUCAGCUGGACCGUCAUCUCUUCCAUUCGUGGUGUUUCUUCUGUGUAUUUUAAAAGUUGAAUAAAUGUAGAUGUUUGUUGGUUUACUUUACUCAAUGAUCAUUUUUGAUUUAAAAGGUAGACGUCACAGUUGUGUUCUUAUUGUGUUGUCUUCACUGUGUCCGUCCGGCUCUAAGAGACCAUCUGCUCUCCCAGAGGAGGCGGAGCUUCGGUCGGGGGAACUACUUUCAGCGGCGGAUGAAUAUUACGUGUUUCCCAAACUUCUUUUCUGGGGAUCCACUUUGUCCCUAAAAAAAUAAACAAAUUUGUGAUUUCAUUUAGAAAAGGCUUCAACAGCUGGUUAGUGAUUUAAAGAGGUGAAACAUUUGGUCCUACAUUUCCCAUGAUGCAUCAUUUCAACCCCACACUCAUUGACUCCUCACAGGGAAGUUAAGUUCGUGAAUAAUUGUGUAAAUGUAUUGUUUUUUAAUUAGUCUUCUUUAUAAAGAUGCAACCGGCAAAAACAAUAUUUUUAAAUGAAUAACUACAAAUAGAAUAAGACCUGUAUUAAAAGGA